rnacentral:rRNA from 1 species
GAUGAACGCUGGCGGCGUGCCUAAUACAUGCAAGUCGAGCGAACAGACGAGGAUCUUGCUCCUCUGACGUUAGCGGCGGACGGGUGAGUAACACGUGGAUAACCUACCUAUAAGACUGGGAUAACUUCGGGAAACCGGAGCUAAUACCGUAUAAUAUAUUGAACCGCAUGGUUCAAUAGUGAAAUACGGUUUUUCUGUCACUUAUAGAUGGAUCUCGGCCUCAUUAGCUAGUUGUUAAGGUCACGGCUUACCAAGGCGACGAUGCGUAGCCGACCUGAGAGGGUGAUAGGCCACCCUGGAACUGAGACACGGUCCAGACUCCUACGGGAGGCAGCAGUAGGGAAUCUUCCGCAAUGGGCGAAAGCCUGACGGAGCAACGCCGCGUGAGUGAUAAAGGUCUUCGGAUCGUAAAACUCUGUUAUUAGGGAAGAACAAAUGUGUAAGGAACUAUGCACGUAUUGACGGUAACUAAUCAGAAAGCCACGGCUAACUACGUG